rnacentral:sRNA from 1 species
AAAACAGACAUUUACCACUAGACUAAGG